rnacentral:rRNA from 1 species
AGUGAACGCUGGCGGUAGGCCUAACACAUGCAAGUCGAACGGCAGCACAGUAAGAGCUUGCUCUUACGGGUGGCGAGUGGCGGACGGGUGAGGAAUAAAUCGGAAUCUACUUUUUCGUGGGGGAUAACGUAGGGAAACUUACGCCAAUACCGCAUACGAACUACGGGUGAAAGCAGGGGAUCUUCGGACCUUGCGCGAUUGAAUGAGCCGAUGUCGGAUUAGCUAGUUGGCGGGGUAAAGGCCCACCAAGGCGACGAUCCGUAGCUGGUCUGAGAGGAUGAUCAGCCACACUGGAACUGAGACACGGUCCAGACUCCUACGGGAGGCAGCAGUGGGGAAUAUUGGACAAUGGGCGCAAGCCUGAUCCAGCCAUACCGCGUGGGUGAAGAAGGCCUUCGGGUUGUAAAGCCCUUUUGUUGGGAAAGAAAAGCAGCAGGUUAAUACCCCGCUGUUCUGACGGUACCCAAAGAAUAAGCACCGGCUAACUUCGUG